GACGAACGCUGGCGGCGUGCUUAAUACAUGCAAGUCAACUGAACUUGAGGUAGUAAUAUUUCAAGGGAGGUGGCGCACGGGUGAGUAACACGUAGGUAAUCUGCCUUUAGGUCUGACAUAAUCCCGCGAAAGCGGGACUAAAAUCAGAUGAUGCAGCGGCUCGACAUCGAGACAGUUGUUAAACCUUCGGGGCCUAAAGAAUGAGCCUGCGUCUGAUUAGGUAGUUGGCGGAGUAAAGACCCACCAAGCCUGCGAUCAGUAGCUGGUCUGAGAGGAUGAUCAGCCACACUGGAACUGAGACACGGUCCAGACUCCUACGGGAGGCAGCAGUAAGGAAUAUUGCUCAAUGGCCGAAAAGGCUGAAGCAGCAACGCCGCGUGGAGGAUGAAAUACUUUUGUAUGUAAACUCCUGUAAGAGGGGAAAAUAUCAAGCUAUGCUGUGUUGAUUGUACCCUCAGAGU
rnacentral:rRNA from 1 species